AGUCCCCUGGCGGCUGCCGUCCCCGUUUAAUUGUGUUUGCGGCUCCGGACCGGGCGGGUUAGUGUCUCGGUCGGGCCUGCGGCGGCACCGCGGGCGGGGGGAGCGGCCCGGCCGUUCGGCGGGAGCUCGGAGCGGCGGAGGGGCCGAGUCCGCCCGCCCCAGGCAGCUUGUGACAGUGAUUGAUUUACGAUCUGGCCCAAGGCCAAGCUCAGUGGAACAAGCACAACGAGCUGGAGCUGCAGAACAACUGGAACCAGAAGCAGCUGCAGAGGAGCUGGAACCGCAAACAGGCUUGAAGCUGCACAGGCUGGAGCUGGAGCUGAAAGAAACCAGAGAGAGAAACUGGAACCAGAACUCAACUUCAUGUGAAACACAAAAGGCACAAACACAAAGGGAAUAAUAAACGGUGCACACCAAAUAAAGUGGGGUACGCACCCAACAACAGAGGCACAGGCACAAGCCCAAUAAAAAGGGGUCACUCCCAAUAGAA